rnacentral:rRNA from 1 species
UACGAAGGGGGCUAGCGUUGCUCGGAUUGACUGGGCGUAAAGGGCGCGUAGGCGGUUUGUACAGUCAGACGUGAAAUUCCUGGGCUCAACCUGGGGGCUGCGUUUGAUACGUAUGGACUUGAGUUCGGAAGAGGGUCGUGGAAUUCCCAGUGUAGAGGUGUAAUUCGUAGAUAUUGGGAAGAACACCGGUGGCGAAGGCGGCGACCUGGUCCGAUACUGACGCUGAGGCGCGAAAGCGUGGGGAGCAAACAGG